rnacentral:lncRNA from 1 species
UGGUGGAGCCACGUGGAAUCUAUUACAGAGAGUGGAGUGGGGUAGUGGCCAUUAUCGUGACUUGCCAAAGAGUUCGAGCCUGAUGGCUGAAGCUCGACUGGGACGUCUGAGGGAGCGGAGUGGCUCUCUAUCUCUGCAAUCUAAGAGAAGCUCGAAUAUUUUUGAGGUUGCUGAUGAGUCCACUGUUGUCGGAUGCCUUGGGCGCUGAUGCUGUAGGUGGAAGUCAUCUGCUUUAGAAGCUUGGAUGGAGACUUUCUGUUGGAGAAGUCU